GACGAAGGUGGCAAGCGUUGCUCGGAUUCACUGGGCAUAAAGCGCGCGUAGGUGGCUCGGUAAGUCGAUGGUGAAAUCCCAUGGCUCAACCAUGGAACUGCGGUCGAUACUGCCGGGCUUGAGGACGGUAGGGGAGAGUGGAACUCCUGGUGUAGCGGUGAAAUGCGUAGAUAUCAGGAGGAACGCCGGUGGCGAAAGCGACUCUCUGGGCCGCUACUGACACUGAGGCGCGAAAGCUAGGGGAGCAAACAGG
rnacentral:misc_RNA from 1 species